rnacentral:sRNA from 1 species
ACAUGAUUCGCGUCGAACAGUGGGAAGCAAAGCUUUCCAGUUGAUUUUUGC